CAGCCGCCGCGGUAAUACCGGCGGCCCGAGUGGCGGUCACUAUUAUUGGGCUUAAAGCGUCCGUAGCCGGGUUGGGAAGUCCUCCGGGAAAUCUGGCCGCUUAACGGUCAGAAUGCCGGAGGAUACUCCCAGCCUAGGGAGCGGGAGAGGCCGAGGGUAUUCCCGGAGUAGGGGUGAAAUCCUAUAAUCCCGGGAGGACCACCUGUGGCGAAGGCGCCCGGCUGGCACGCGCCCGACGGUGAGGGACGAAAGCUGGGGGAGCAAACCGGAUUAGAUACCCGGGUAGUCCUGGCUGUAAACGAUGCGGACUUUGUGUCGGACAAGCUAUGAGCUUGUCCGGUGCCGGAGGGAAACCGUUAAGUCCGCCGCCUGGGGAGUACGGCCGCAAGGCUGAAACUUAAAGGAAUUGGCGGG
rnacentral:rRNA from 1 species